CCAGCAGCUAGCUCAGUGGUAGAGCAUUUGACUGCAGAUCAAGAGGUCCCAGGUUCAACUCCAGGUGCCCCCUGUUGGG
rnacentral:tRNA from 1 species